rnacentral:rRNA from 1 species
UACAGAGGUGGCAAGCGUUGUUCGGAAUUACUGGGCGUAAAGGGCGCGUAGGCGGUCUUGCAAGUCCCGUGUGAAAUCCCUCGGCUCAACUGAGGAACUGCACGGGAAACUGCUUGGCUUGAGUUCGGGAGAGGGAAGCGGAAUUCCGGGUGUAGCGGUGAAAUGCGUAGAGAUGUGGAGGAACACCGAUGGCGAAGGCAGCCCCCUGGGCCAAUACUGACGCUCAUGCACGAAAGCGUGGGGAGCAAACAGG